UGUGUGCAUAUGUCUAUGUAAGUAUAUGCGGGGGUGGGGGGGUGGGCAAGGAAUGCCUUGGAGGACUGGUGGAGUCAUAGGCAGUUGUGACUCUUGUGGGAGCUGGGACCUGAACUGGGGUUCUCUUGAAGGCAGAACAAGCUCUCUGUUCAGCAUUGAGCCAUCUCUCCAUCCCCUGGGAAAGAUAUCUUGAAUGGUUUCCUGAGGUGUAGAGAGCUAGCAGCCCCUGGCCAGGAAAAGUCUUUCAAAGCCUGUCAGUGGUCAGAGGUACAGCAGAGCGACCAUCUUCCUUAGGUUGUCCCAGAGGACAGGAGGAAGAAAAGACGCUCCGGCAGACAGGCGCAGCCCACUCUAGGCGUCCUCCUCUGUGAUGAAACUGCUUUUCUCUUUCAAGUAUCUCCUCUGACUCCAGCACUCUUCCUUUGCUCUUGUAAGUCUGGUCACGCUGCACAGAUCUGGGUUGUUCCCCUGGUCCCGUGAACCCAUUAGCGUCCGUCCGAGCCAUUAGGGACUCGCCACCAACACACGUGGACAGCAGCAGCAGCAGCAGUGGCCGCUGGAGCAAAGACUACGAUGUCUGCGUGUGCCACAGUGAGGAGGACUUGGAGGCGGCCCAGGAGCUGGUCUCCUACUUGGAGGGUAGCCAGGCCAGUCUACGCUGCUUCCUGCAGCUUCGGGAUGCAGCCCCGGGUGGCGCCAUUGUUUCGGAGCUAUGCCAGGCACUGAGUCGUAGUCACUGCCGUGUGCUGCUCAUCACUCCAGGCUUCCUUCGGGACCCCUGGUGCAAGUACCAGAUGCUGCAGGCCCUGACGGAGGCCCCGGCGUCGGAGGGUUGCACCAUACCCCUGCUGUCCGGCCUGUCCAGAGCCGCCUAUCCGCCGGAACUCCGAUUCAUGUACUAUGUGGAUGGCAGAGGCAAGGACGGAGGCUUUUACCAAGUCAAGGAGGCUGUUAUACACGUUCUCCGGCUUUAGAGUACAAAAAGUGCUCAGGGAGUCUGCGCGGGACAAAAUU
rnacentral:antisense_RNA from 1 species